CGUGCCAUGGCACGUCUAGCUGCAUAGAAAUUAGUGGCUGCACCAUCAGCUCGCGCUGAGGAGGCCACAACGGCGUUCCAACAGGCCAAGAAGUCGGCGGCAGCGGCUGUUCAGACCAAGAAGUCGGCGACAGUUGCGGCUGCGACACAUCAGGUACUGAAGAAGCGGGCAGCAGGGGCGGCAGCGCAGGCCAAGGUGGUG
rnacentral:lncRNA from 1 species